rnacentral:lncRNA from 1 species
AUGUGUAUGUCAAAGAAGAGUUUUAUGCUUCAUCAAAACCAGCAUUCAUGUAAAUAUCUAGGUUACCCUGCUGAUUCACGUCACCUCUAACCUCUAUUCAAUGUCGUCAUAAUUGUCAAUUGUGAUCUCUGAGAGCUUGGGAACCUGAUCUCUGAGCCCAUGGUAGACUUCUGAAGAGGGGACAAAUCAUAAAGAAGAAAUGGUUAGUGGAUUUUGGCUAAUAGGCCUAUAGACAACAACAUUUUUUGUCCUACUUUGUGCUUAAGAGUGGCAUAAUUUCCAUGCCCCUAAGUAUGGCACAGAAAUCCUGCUAAAGACCUAGGCUGCGUCUUGCUCCUGUACGUGGAUGACCUUCUGCUGGGACACUCCACGGCAGUCAGGUAUGCCAAAGGGACAGAUGCCCUGCUUCAGCACCUGGAGGACUGUGGGUAUAAGGUGUCCAAGUAGAAAUCUCAGAUCUGCAGACAGCAGGUACGCUACCUGGGAUUCACUAUUCUGAAAGGGAAGUUCAGCCUGGGGUCAGAAAGAAAGCAAGUCAUCUGCAGCCUACUGGAACCUAAAACCAGAAGGCAAGUAAGGGAAUUCCUAGGACCUGUGGGGUUUUGCAGAUUAUGGAUUCCAAACUUUGAAGUACUAGCCAAACCUUUGUACACGGUUACAAAGGGGGGCAACUGGGAGCCUUUUGAAUGGGGGCCUCUACAACAGCAAGCCUUUUGUGAAUUAAAGGAAAAACUUAUGUCGGCUCUAGCCCUAGGACUACCAGAUUUGACAAAGCCCUUUACACUCUAUGUGUCA